UAUAAGAUAAGCUAAAAACAAGCUGUUAGGUUCAUACCCUAAAAAUGAGAUUUUCUCUCUUAUAA